GGCCAAACAAACCUGGAAAUAGCUGGUUCUCUCCGAAAUAUAUUUAGGUAUAGCCUUGCGUAAUUUUGUAACGGGGGAAGAGCACUGAAUGGGCUAGGGGUCUCACCAGAUUACCAAACCUAAUCAAACUCCGAAUACCGUUAACAACUAUCGCAGGAGUCAGACUACGGGAGCUAAGUUCCGUGGUCGAGAGGGAAACAACCCAGACCGUCAGCUAAGGUCCCUAAAUCAAUACUAAGUGGACAAGGAUGUGGAAAUGCCCAGACAACCAGGAGGUUGGCUUAGAAGCAGCCAUCCUUUAAAGAAAGCGUAACAGCUCACUGGUCGAGUGGGUCUGCGCCGAAAAUGUAUCGGGGCUAAGUAUUGUACCGAAGCUACGGGGUGUAAUUUAUUACAUUGGUAGGAGAGCAUUCUGUAUUGGGCUGAAGGUGGAUCGUAAGAACCACUGGACUAUACAGAAGAGCCCAUGCUGACAUGAGUAGCGAUAAAGCGGGUGAAAAACCCGCUCGCCGAAAGCCUAAGGUUUCCUGAGUAAAGCUAAUCUGCUCAGGGUUAGUCGAUCCCUAAGCCGAGGCCGAAAGGCGUAGGUGAUGGAAAACAGGUUAAUAUUCCUGUACCACCGUAUUAUCAUUUGAGUGAUGGA
rnacentral:rRNA from 1 species